GUGUACCAUGGUGGAGGGUGGCAGUGCAAUCAGCCCCAGUAGGAAGAUCUUUAUCACUGGCAUGGUUUGUAAUUACACUCAAACUACUUGGAGACUUGGAUUACUGGAUGCGAUAACACACGGCCCUGCGCCUGCUGCCUUCCUCCUACAGCAUUCUCACUUGCAACUACAACAACAAUGGCAGCAACAACACUUCCAAGGGUUUGGCUUCUACAUUAGGAAAUCGAUUAAAAUUUUGAAGCUGCAUGCGAUUAUUUUGAGAGAGGAAAGAUCAAGCUGCCAACCUGUGUGAUCUGCCUGGCCAUCACCCUUUCCCCCUGCAGAGAAGCAAUGUGGGCAGUGACGAAAACUUCCCGUGUUCAAACCCUCUCUACACAU